UACGUAGGGUGCAAGCGUUAAUCGGAAUUACUGGGCGUAAAGCGUGCGCAGGCGGUUGUGCAAGACAGAUGUGAAAUCCCCGGGCUCAACCUGGGAACUGCAUUUGUGACUGCACGGCUAGAGUGCGGCAGAGGGAGAUGGAAUUCCGCGUGUAGCAGUGAAAUGCGUAGAUAUGCGGAGGAACACCGAUGGCGAAGGCAAUCCCCUGGGCCUGCACUGACGCUCAUGCACGAAAGCGUGGGGAGCAAACAGG
rnacentral:rRNA from 1 species